rnacentral:rRNA from 1 species
AGGACGAACGCUGGCGGCGUGCUUAAUACAUGCAAGUCGAACGAGGUUCACUUCGGUGGGCCUAGUGGCGAACGGGUGAGUAACACGUGAGCAACCUGCCCCGAAGACCGGGAUAACAGUGGGAAACCGCUGCUAAUACCGGAUACCCCCAUUGGAUCCCAUGGUCCGAUGAGGAAAUGGAUUCCGCUUCGGGAGGGGCUCGCGGCCUAUCAGCUUGUUGGUGGGGUAACGGCCUACCAAGGCUUCGACGGGUAGCUGGUCUGAGAGGACGAUCAGCCACACUGGGACUGAGACACGGCCCAGACUCCUACGGGAGGCAGCAGUAGGGAAUCUUGCGCAAUGGGCAAAGCCUGACGCAGCAACGCCGCGUGAGGGAUGGAGGCCUUCGGGUUGUAAACCUCUUUCAGCAGGGACGAUUGUGACGGUACCUGCAGAAGAAGCCCGGCAACUACGUGCCAGCAGCCGC